UACGUAGGGGCCUAGCGUUGUCCGGAAUUAUUGGGCGUAAAGAGCUCGUAGGCGGUUUGUUGCGUCGGCCGUGAAACCUGCAGCUUAACUGUGGGCCUGCGGCCGAUACGGGCAGACUUGAGUUCGGUAGGGGAGACUGGAAUUCCUGGUGUAGCGGUGAAAUGCGCAGAUAUCAGGAGGAACACCGAUGGCGAAGGCAGGUCUCUGGGCCAUAACUGACGCUGAGAAGCGAAAGCAUGGGGAGCGAACAGG
rnacentral:rRNA from 1 species